rnacentral:rRNA from 1 species
CACGUAGGGCGCGAGCGUUGUCCGGAAUUAUUGGGCGUAAAGAGCUCGUAGGCGGCCUGUUGCGUCCGCUGUGAAAGCCCGGGGCUUAACCCCGGGUCGGCAGUGGAUACGGGCAGACUAGAGUCAGGUAGGGGAGAACGGAAUUCCUGGUGUAGCGGUGAAAUGCGCAGAUAUCAGGAGGAACACCGGUGGCGAAGGCGGUUCUCUGGGCCUGUACUGACGCUGAGGAACGAAAGCGUGGGGAGCGAACAGG